UACGUAGGGGGCAAGCGUUGUCCGGAUUUAUUGGGCGUAAAGAGCUCGUAGGCGGUUCCGUAAGUCGUGAAGUCAAAUCUCUGGGCUCAACCCAGAAUCGCUUCCGAUACUGCGGUGACUGGAGUCCGGUAGGGGAGUGUGGAAGUUCCUGGUGUAGCGGUGAAAUGCGCAGAUAUCAAGUGGAACACCAGUGGCGAAGGCGAAUCCCUGGAAAAUACCUGACACUGAGGCACGAAAGCUAGGGGAGCAAACAGG
rnacentral:rRNA from 1 species